rnacentral:rRNA from 1 species
GACGAACGCUGGCGGCGUGCCUAACACAUGCAAGUCGAGCGGAGUCGAUCGACGGAAGCCUUCGGGCGGAAGAUGGUUGACUUAGCGGCGGAUGGGUGAGUAACGCGUGGGCAACCUGCCUCGAAGACCGGGAUAACAGCCCGAAAGGGCUGCUAAUACCGGAUGUGGUCAAGGAUCCGCAUGGAUUUUUGAUUAAAGGGGAAACCCGUUUCGAGAUGGGCCCGCGUCCUAUCAGCUAGUUGGUGAGGUAAAAGCUCACCAAGGCGACGACGGGUAGCCGGCCUGAGAGGGUGACCGGCCACACUGGAACUGAGACACGGUCCAGACUCCUACGGGGGCAGCAGUGGGGAAUCUUCCACAAUGGGCGAAAGCCUGAUGGAGCGACGCCGCGUGAGCGAAGAAGGCCUCGGUUGUAAGCUCUGUCUGGAGGGACGAAGGAAGUGACGGUACCUCCGGAGGAAGCCACGGCUAACUACGUGCCAGCAGCCGCGGUAAAGUAGUAGUACGUAACUACGAGC